rnacentral:rRNA from 1 species
CGCGAAUGGCUCAUUACAACAGCUAACAAAUCUACUUGAUCUUGACACAAUCCUACUUGGAUAACUGUGGUAAUUCUAGAGCUAAUACAUGCAUUAAAGCUCUGACCUUCGGGGAAGAGUGCAUUUAUUAGAACAAAACCAAGCGGCUUCGGCUGUUUUCGGUUGACUCAUAGUAACUGAGCUGAUCGCAUGGUCCUGCACCGGCGACGUGUCUUUCGAGUAUCUGCCGUAUCAACUUUCGAUGGUAGUGUAUCUGACUACCAUGGUGAUCACGCGUAACGGAGAAUAAGGGUUCGACUCCGGAGAGUUCGCCUGAGAAAUCGCGAACACAUCUAAGGAAGGCAGCAGGCGCGAAAAUUACCCACUCUCAGCACGAGGAGGUAGUGACGAAAAAUAACGAGACCGUUCUCCUAUGAGGCCGGUCAUCGGAAUGGGUACAAUUUAAACCCUUUAACGAGUAUCUAUGAGAGGGCAAGCCUGGUGCCAGCAGCCGCGGUAAUUCCAGCU